rnacentral:rRNA from 1 species
AACGUAGGACGCAAGCGUUAUCCGGAGUUACUGGGCGUAAAGCGCGAGCAGGCGGCUCGUCAAGUGGGGUGUGAAAGCUCCCGGCUUAACCGGGAGAGGCCAUUCCAAACUGAUGGGCUGGAGGGCAGCAGAGGUGCGUGGAAUUCCGGGUGGAGUGGUGAAAUGCGUAGAGAUCCGGAGGAACACCAGAGGCGAAGGCGGCGCACUGGGCUGCUUCUGACGCUGAGCCGCGAAAGCCAGGGGAG